rnacentral:tRNA from 1 species
GAGGGUAUAGCUCAAUGGUAGAGUGCGUUCCUAGCAUGCAAGAGGUCCUUGGUUUAAUCCCCAGUACCUCCA